rnacentral:rRNA from 1 species
UACGGAGGGAGCUAGCGUUGUUCGGAAUUACUGGGCGUAAAGCGCACGUAGGCGGAUUUGUAAGUUAGAGGUGAAAGCCUGGGGCUCAACCCCAGAAUGGCCUUUAAGACUGCAUCGCUUGAAUCCAGGAGAGGUGAGUGGAAUUCCGAGUGUAGAGGUGAAAUUCGUAGAUAUUCGGAAGAACACCAGUGGCGAAGGCGGCUCACUGGACUGGUAUUGACGCUGAGGUGCGAAAGCGUGGGGAGCGAACAGG